GAUGAACGCUGGCGGCGUGCCUAAUACAUGCAAGUCGAGCGAACAGACGAGGAGCUUUCUCCUCUGACGUUAGCGGCGGACGGGUGAGUAACACGUGGAUAACCUACCUAUAAGACUGGGAUAACUUCGGGAAACCGGAGCUAAUACCGGAUAAUAUAUUGAACCGCAUGGUUCAAUAGUGAAAGACGGUUUUGCUGUCACUUAUAGAUGGAUCCGCGCCGCAUUAGCUAGGUGGUAAGGUAACAUCUUACCAAGGCAACGAUGCGUAGCCGACCUGAGAGGGUGAUCGGCCAAACUGGAACGGAGACACGGUCCAGACUCCUACGGGAGGCAGCAGUAGGGAAUCUUCCGCAAUGGGCGAAAGCCUGACGGAGCAACGCCGCGUGAGUGAUGAAGGUCUUCGGAUCGUAAAACUCUGUUAUUAGGGAAGAACAAAUGUGUAAGUAACUAUGCACGUCUUGACGGUACCUAAUCAGAAAGCCACGGCUAACUACGUG
rnacentral:rRNA from 1 species